rnacentral:rRNA from 1 species
GAUGAACGCUGGCGGCGUGCCUAAUACAUGCAAGUCGAGCGAACGGACGAGAAGUUUGCUUCUCUGAUGUUAGCGGCGGAUGGGUGAGUAACACGUGGAUACCCUACCUAUAAGACUGGGAUAACUUAGGGAAACCGGAUAUAAUAUCGGAUAAUAUUUUGAACCUCAUGGUUCAAAAGUGAAAGACGGUCUUGCUGUCACUUAUAGAUGGAUCCGCGCUGCAUUAGCUAGUUGGUAAGGUAACGGCUUACCAAGGCAACGAUGCAUAGCCGACCUGAGAGGGUGAUCAGCCACACUGGAACUGAGACACGGUCCAGACUCCUACGGGAGGCAGCAGUAGGGAAUCCUCCGCAAUGGGCGAAAGCCUGACGGAGCAACGCCGCGUGUGUGAUGAAGGUCUUCGGAUCGUAAAGCUCUGUUAGUAGGGAAGAACAUAUGUGUAAUUAUCUGUUCACAUCUUGACGGUACCUAAACAGAAAGCCACGGCUAACUACGUG